rnacentral:misc_RNA from 1 species
CCUCCUUAUAACGAAGUUACACUUACAGAGUGUUCACACAAAUAAUUAAUUACGAAGUUUUAAGAGAGCUCUAACCCAUGCGCACAGUAUGUGCUCAUCAGUUAGGGUUUUUAACCCGGACGUGUAAACGUCAUGCUCUUUAACAAUUUGGAAAGCUGAUAAAAUAAGGUAAACAUUAUUGUUUAUUUAAUUUGUUAUUCAACAAUUUAAAAAAAUAAUUUUGAUUAUCACUGUAAGAGAAAACUCAAGCGUUAUUUAUGUCAAAACGAACAUGCCUAUACAACAUGUCUCGUUAAUAAAUAUGACACAAGAUGAUGCAAUCGAGAAUGUGAGAACAUUUAAGGUUGUAUGGUUAAGUGAAUAAGCGUAUACGGUGGAUGCCUUGGCAAUUGGAGGCGAUGAAGGACGUGUUAAUCUGCGAUAAGUCUGGUUAAGGUGAUAAAAACCGUUAUAAACCAGGAUUUCCGAAUGGGGAAA